GGGGCCGGCGCCGGCGCCCCGCUCCCGAGCCGCCGUUAGCGGCGGAGCUGCGUUUGGUACGGCUCUCCUCUCAGAAAGGGCGAAGACCCCCUCAUUUCUGUUACCUUAAACACAGCGUGUCAACGGCGCAGCCGGGCCCGCUGCUUCAUAGCAGCCUGCAAAGUAACUAAAACCAAACCGGGUUAGGAGCUCAUGGCUGCCAGUGCCAUCGGUACUAGUGAAAGUCACUACGAGGUUACUGAUUAUUUUGUGUGCAAAUUUUACCCACAUAAAUCUGCUGCUGCUAUGAGUGCAAAUAAUUUGACACUAGAAAUGACAAAUCAGGAAGAUAAAUCUAAUGGAAAUUAAAGAGGAAUAAGACCCACAUCAUCUAAGAAUUGUAUGGGUUUGCUUACUGCAUUCAAUUUAUGAGUUAAUUUCUAUUAUACAUAAAUAAAACUAAUUUUCAAGUUUAUAAAGCCUGAAUCACUGGAUGAUGGAUUUUCAAAUAAGGUCUGUUUGUUGUUAUGAAAGAAAAUUGGAUGAAGACUUUGCAAGUCAGGAUUGCUUGUGUGCAAGUCACUGGGCUGCUUGCCCUUCGCAGUUCAUGGCCCGUGAUGUACCCUUGGCCACCUCUGUCAUAUCCAGCUGAAUAACAGAAGCCUUCCAAGUAAAAGAACAGAAAACAAGAGAGAAAAAAUUAUACUACACUUGUGCUUUAGCAUCACUGCAACAAGCCACAAAGAAUCAUUUGUAUCAACUGCCUCGGUCAGGCUCGCUUCUGCUGCAGCUCGCAGACAGCACAGUUAUCCAGGAGACAGGAAGAAUGCAGUCAAGAAUAAUGCAAAAGUGGGUAAAAGCCAAGACUCAUCAAUCUUUGCUAUUCAACCCUCUUCAGACCAUACUGGAUUCCUAGCAUGCUUUUUAGGAGUUUGGCAGAAGGUGUGCAGAGCCAGAACAUGAUCUUCCUCUCUUCUUUCUUCAUGCAUGCUAAAAAGCAACUCUGGAAUAUCCUAGCACUUCUUCUCAUAGGUUUCUAUUAGUUUUCUUGUUAGUAAGCACCAUACGUCACUCUUUCUACAGACCAGUACUGUAUUUACUGGAACCCGAGUGUAUGUGGUAAGUAACACCACAGCUCCUGUAUAUGAUGCACCAGCUAUAUAUUACACAAAACUUCAAUAAAGAAGUCACUUUUAUCAUUUCUUCCCCAUUCAGAAAUACAUUUAUAUAUGUGUUCUCUUACCCAUGGUGAAGCAGUGUUUGGAAUAUGUUAUUAAGGGUAACAGAUCUAUUUGAAUAACAGGGUUAUUUUGAUGUCUUACUGUUCAUUGGGAUAAUUCCUCGAAGUCAGGGCAGUUCUGAAACAUGAAAGCAGCAUUAAAUAAGAAAUUAAAAAACAACAACAACAAACCCAUGACAUUCUACCUGAGUGAAAAGCUACAAUGAAAUUAAUCACCCUUUUAACUAACUGAAAAUUUCUUUAGCCAUGUUUCUGCUAUGGCAACUGGGCCAGCAUUAGGCUGGUUGAUGGGGUUUGUGAAAUGAUCUUUAGAACUUUCCACUCUGAUGAAAAAUCUUUCCAACUCCUAAUAGUCCAGCUGGCCCAGUCUCUUUUAGCAAGGUAAGUAUAUAUCAGUCCUUGGCUCUUUUCCAGCCACUCACGUAAAUAAGACAAUGUAUUGAGUGCUAGGUGUGAAAGAAAUAUACAUAUCUUUAAAAGUUAACAAGAAAACAAUUUUUGUUUGUUUAAUUUAGAAGCUGGCAUUCUCCCUCCUGCCUUUUCUAGUUGCUAAUAGCAGGCAACUUCAAUCUCUGCCAGGCCUUGAGAACAGCUAGAGGCACUGACUACACAAAAGGACAGGAUUUACACCUUUACAUUUGGCUGACUUUGCCUAAUUUGGCAAAAGAAAAAUCUUUGCCAUUCCUGGUUUUCAGAAAUCUGCAAACUAAGCGAGGCCUGCUGAACUGUUGUCUGAUGUCUGGGAGUUGCUAAACUGUGAUAGCAUUUUGAAAAUGAAAUGGCUAAAAUAGCACAAGCAUUGCUUCUGUUAUUUCUAAAACACCCUAGAAUUUGCUUGCUUUUAUUUUCCUGAACAGGCCAGUACUAGAGACAAGGUUUACAGUUAACAUUCACCCCCCCUGUAUUUCAUCAAUACACAUUUGUUCAAUUCUUGUUCUGCUAAGAUGAACACUUGAUUUAAAAAUUGAAAUAAAUUUAGAAAUCUUUGAGGAGGAAAAUUCUUGAAGGUCUUUAGCUAAGGUGAACCCAAGCCCUUUCAAGUUAAUUAAGAGCCUUCUUAAAGGCAGGCAGAUUGAUGGCAAGGUCACAAAAGAACACUGGUCUGUUUUGGGGGAACUCCGCAUGCCUAGAUCAAAGAUUAUGUUCUAGAAAAUGAAAGGGAAAGAAAAAAAGAAACCUUGCUCAGUAUCUCUGUAUACCUGGAAAGUGCUCAGUGCCUGGGUCUGGCACUGGAUAUGCUAAAAACUGCUCAGGUCUGGGACCUGGCUUGAAGGUCAGCUUGGUCUUGGUUGGACCCUCUAGAGAGCAGAGACAGCGGCAGGCAAAGCAAGGCACUGUCAUAGCUUGGCCACUUUCCUCAGGUGGCUGCUGCUGGUGGGUGCGUGGGGCUGUGGGAAGGUGGACGUGGCCCUUCCUCUGUUAAUCUGCUGCUGAGAGGCCCCUCUGCCCAGGGGUGCCAGCCCCCCUUAUAUCCCACCAGGAGGAGUCCAGAGGAAGAGGGCUGUCAGGAGAGGAAGCCCCGCCGCCUCCCAGCUAGUCAGUGACCAUGGGUGCCACUGUACAAGUAUGCCCCUGACAGCCCGUCCAGGACGGGACUGGCCCUGCUGCUGCACCUCUCGAACUUGGAGGAAAUACUUGCUCAGUGGCUCGGGGAAGAGGGGCUGGAGCCUUAGCCAUAAACACUCUUUUUCCACAGGCAAAUGAAUGGGAAGUGUUUCUAAUAUAUGUGUAUGCAUACGGUUGUCCUGCAUGUUGGAGAUAUCAGAAAUAUUCAUUACAAUGGCCUUCAAAGUAAAAUUGAAGGAAAUUUUGAGUAAUAUUGAUCAAAAAAUGAAACUGUAUAAUUUUAAAAAUGCCAGAAUAUUGUGACUGAUUUGUAUUUUCAGCUCCUUUUCAUUUUUUUAUGCUAGUCCUGAAACCUAUAGAAAGUAGUGAAGCAUAUAACUAAAUCUGUAUUAUUGGUUGAAAGAGGUUUCUGAUGAUAGCACAUGCCUAUCCCUAGUUGUUAUAACUUCUUGAUUAGAAGAACCAGGAAAGCAGGCAAAGGAGUAAGAGUUAAGCAAUUUGCAGGAUUUUUUGUUUUAUUUCUGCACUCCCAGGCAGGACCCCAUUGAACUAAGAAGAAAAUAAUAUUCCAGAAAUAAUUCUUAUUGCCUGACUUCAAUUUACUGCUAGUAUUCUCUCUCCAUAAUGAAACA